UACGUAGGGGGCAAGCGUUGUCCGGAAUCAUUGGGCGUAAAGCGCGUGUAGGCGGCUGAGUAAGUCUGCUCUGAAAGCCCGGGGCUCAACCCCGGGAGGCGGGUGGAUACUGCUCAGCUCGAGUCCGGAAGAGGAGUGUGGAAUUCCUGGUGUAGCGGUGAAAUGCGCAGAUAUCAGGAGGAACACCAAUGGCGAAGGCAGCACUCUGGGACGGUACUGACGCUGAGACGCGAAAGCGUGGGGAGCAAACAGG
rnacentral:ncRNA from 2 species